rnacentral:rRNA from 1 species
GACGAACGCUGGCGGCGUGCUUAACACAUGCAAGUCGAACGGUAAGGCUCCAGCUUGCUGGGGUACACGAGUGGCGAACGGGUGAGUAACACGUGGGUGACCUGCCCUGCACUUCGGGAUAAGCCUGGGAAACUGGGUCUAAUACCGGAUAGGACCAUGGUGUGGAUACUGUGGUGGAAAGUUUUUUCGGUGUGGGAUGGGCCCGCGGCCUAUCAGCUUGUUGGUGGGAUAAUGGCCUACCAAGGCGGCGGCGGGUAGCCGGCCUGAGAGGGUGGACGGCCACAUUGGGACUGAGACACGGCCCAGACUCCUACGGGAGGCAGCAGUGGGGAAUAUUGCACAAUGGGCGGAAGCCUGAUGCAGCGACGCCGCGUGGGGGAUGACGGCCUUCGGGUUGUAAACUCCUUUCACCAUCGACGAAGGGUUUCUGACGGUAGAUGGAGAAGAAGCACCGGCUAACUACGUG